AAGUAAGCCAGGAAGAGCAGAAGGCAUCUUUGACUAGGCUCUGCCCUCUGGUACAAACUCAGGAGGCCCUCUGUGACUGUGUUCUGAUGAAGACUGGUCCCUCUAGCUGGACAGUGGUGGCGCAUCCCUUUAAUCCCGGCACGCAGGAGGCAGAGGCAGGCAGAUCUCUGAGUUUGAGGCCAGCCUGGACUACAGAGCAAGUUUCAGGACAGCCAGAGCUACGCAGAGAAACCCUGAUUUUCACAGACAAACAAACCAGGCUUGGUGUAGAUCUCCAGUCCCAGCUACUCAGAAGCCUGGGGCAGAAGAACUGACAGCUCAAGGCUUUCUUGUUUUAUUCAGAUUGUUCAAAGCCAACUGGACAACUUGGUCAAUGAAACAAGAACAGCAAGAAAACUGGGGAGGUAGCUCAGGGGUAGAGCCCUUGCCUAGCCAGAGGCAAGUUCAGGCCCUGAUCUGGGCACAGCCUUCUAUGACCUCUGCUCUACUCUGACUACUAUAAGAUGAACGGAUUUUAGAUUCCACGUGAGAGUGAGUGACAGGAUGUGGAUUCUGUUUCUCUGCCUGGCUAAUUUCACUAAACAUAAAGCCCUCGAUUUCUCAUCGUGUUGCAGCUAAUGUCAGGCUUCCAUGUUUCUAUGACUGCAGAGCCUUCCUGUGUAUUUGAGUUCCACUCCUUUAUCCAUUCACCUGGCAGUGGGCCUCAUCAUGCCAGCACCACUAUGAAUAGUGUCAAGGCCAGUAUACUUUAAAAAAAAUAAAUGUCACUAGUUUCUAUAGGACCGUCUUUGUAGGUAUCAGGGACCAUUUAUCAUAAAUGGAGGUCUUUAUGACUUUUUUCUACUCUUUCUUGAGUAAAACUAUUUCUCCUCAAGAAACAAGCAACUGGGGAAGGGAA
rnacentral:lncRNA from 1 species